rnacentral:rRNA from 1 species
UACGUAGGGGGCGAGCGUUAAUCGGAAUUACUGGGCGUAAAGCGUGCGCAGGCGGCUUCGCAAGUCAGACGUGAAAUCCCCGGGCUUAACCUGGGAAUGGCGUUUGAAACUACGGAGCUGGAGUAUGGCAGAGGGGGGUGGAAUUCCACGUGUAGCGGUGAAAUGCGUAGAUAUGUGGAGGAACACCGAUGGCGAAGGCAGCCCCCUGGGCCAAUACUGACGCUCAUGCACGAAAGCGUGGGGAGCAAACAGG